rnacentral:rRNA from 1 species
AGGUCGACGAUUCCUACGGGAGGCAGCAGUGGGGAAUUUUGGACAAUGGGGGAAACCCUGAUCCAGCCAUCCCGCGUGUGCGAUGAAGGCCUUCGGGUCGUAAAGCACUUUUGGCAGGAAAGAAACGUCAUGGGUUAAUACCCCGUGAAACUGACGGUACCUGCAGAAUAAGCACCGGCUAACUACGUG